rnacentral:rRNA from 1 species
GUGCACGCUGGCGGUAGGCCUAACACCUGCAAGUCGCACGGCAGCACAGUAAGAGCUUGCUCUUACGGGUGGCGAGUGGCGGACGGGUGAGGAAUACAUCGGAAUCUACUUUUUCGUGGGGGAUAACGUAGGGAAACUUACGCUAAUACCGCAUACGACCUACGGGUGAAAGCCGGGGAUCUUCGGACCUUGCGCGAUUGAAUGAGCCGAUGUCGGAUUAGCUAGUUGGCGGGGUAAAGGCCCACCAAGGCGACGAUCCGUAGCUGGUCUGAGAGGAUGAUCAGCCACACUGGAACUGAGACACGGUCCAGACUCCUACGGGAGGCAGCAGUGGGGAAUAUUGGACAAUGGGCGCAAGCCUGAUCCAGCCAUACCGCGUGGGUGAAGAAGGCCUUCGGGUUGUAAAGCCCUUUUGUUGGGAAAGAAAAGCAGCAGGUUAAUACCCCGCUGUUCUGACGGUACCCAAAGAAUAAGCACCGGCUAACUUCGUG